rnacentral:ncRNA from 1 species
AAAUCAGCUGUGAUUGGAAAAAAGUAAUGAACCGCUCCCUGUAUCAGAGACCUAGUGGUGCUGCGAACUAGGACAUAGCGCUUCAUGAAUUACGCUUCCAGGAGCUUCUUGAGAAAUCAAGCGGACUGCCCCGUUAUCGGCAAUCUAAGUGGCAUGAUUUUCAUGCAAUUAGGGUGGUACCACGGAAUAUUCCGUCCCUUCG